GCCUGUGGCCUUGAACAUAUUUGCAUGGUGUGUUGUGUUUGUAUUCCCCAGCAGCACUGACUCAAGACCAAGUCAUCCCUUACAGGAAUUAUCUACAAAGGAAACGAAAUUUCAUGGCAUCUCUCUGUCAUCCUUCCCUGCAGAUGGUGCCUCCAAAUCCCUUCUGAAGGCAUUUGUGAGGACCAGCAUAUAACUCAACAAGAAAUGUUCAUGGCUCCAACCAGUAGAAAUUAAUACCAGAGACAGAAAUCCUAUCACUGAAGCCAUGGAGGAAGACACACACUCCAGCCCUGACCACUGAACCACUGUGGUUUAAUUAUGCAAAACUGGGGUUGAAGAUUCAAGAUAUUGCUCAGAUUGUUCUGCAGUAAACUCUUCUGAUUCAGCAGUGUCAGCAGGAAGGAGCCCAUGGAUGCCAAACUAACUCCAUCUCUGCAGCCUGUUGUGCCAUCACAUGAAUAUAGGAUUCUUGCUUCUGGAUCACUCAGCUCUGUUGUCCAGGUUGAAGCAGGAGGUGAUGCUACAUGGAAAGACAAGCCAAGGAGACCUUGCUCAGGUUUCCUUACAUUCUAAAACAAAGAGCCAGGUGUAAGAGCUUGGAGUAAUUUGAAGUUAAUCUCCUACUGAUACCUUCAAGCUUGAAAGCUUUAUGAGCAUCUCUGCUACACUCCUCAAGAAAAUUACCUGAACAAAGCUGCCCAAACAUGGUAUGUCUGUGACUCCAUUUCCCUCUGCACUGUGGAGCUGGAUUCAUGUCACCAGGUAGGUGCUACUCUUUUUCCAGAAGGACAGUAACAAAGUUUGUUCCCCUGUGUGUUAAAGAAACUUGGAA
rnacentral:lncRNA from 1 species